ACCUUUGUGCAGUAGCAGUAUCGUAGCCAAUGAGGUUUAUCCAAGGUGCGAUUAUUGCUAAUUGAAAACUUUUCCCAAUACCCUGCCAUGACAACUUGAAAUAUAGUUGGCAUUGGCAAUUUUUGACAGUCUCUACAGAGA
rnacentral:snRNA from 1 species